CAGUAGCCGCGGUAAUACGAAGGGGGCUAGCGUUGCUCGGAAUGACUGGGCGUAAAGGGCGCGUAGGCGGAUUGUUUAGUUAGGCGUGAAAUUCCUGGGCUUAACCUGGGGACUGCGCUUAAUACAGGCAGUCUAGAGUGAGGAAGAGGGUUGUGGAAUUCCCAGUGUAGAGGUGAAAUUCGUAGAUAUUGGGAAGAACACCGGUGGCGAAGGCGGCAACCUGGUCCUUGACUGACGCUGAGGCGCGAAAGCGUGGGGAGCAAACAGGAUUAGAUACCCCUGUAGUCCCUGUCUCUUAUAC
rnacentral:rRNA from 1 species